rnacentral:rRNA from 1 species
GAUGAACGCUAGCGGCAGGCUUAAUACAUGCAAGUCGAGGGGCAGCAAGGGUAGCAAUACCUGUUGGCGACCGGCAAACGGGUGCGGAACACGUACAGAACCUUCCUUUAAGCGGGGGAUAGCCCGGAGAAAUCCGGAUUAAUACCCCAUAGUAAUAUUUAAUGGCAUCAUUAGAUAUUUAAAGAUUUAUCACUUAGAGAUGGCUGUGCGGCUGAUUAGGUAGUUGGUGUGGGUAANGGCCCACCAAGCCAGCGAUCAGUAACUGGUGUGAGAGCACGACCAGUCACACGGGCACUGAGACACGGGCCCGACUCCUACGGGAGGCAGCAGUAAGGAAUAUUGGUCAAUGGACGCAAGUCUGAACCAGCCAUGCCG